AGUGAACGCUGGCGGUAGGCCUAAUACAUGCAAGUCGAACGGCAGCACAGUAAGAGCUUGCUCUUACGGGUGGCGAGUGGCGGACGGGUGAGACAUACAUCGGCAUCUACUUUUUCGGGGGGGACAACGUAGGGAAACUUACGCUACUACCGCAUAUGUCCUACGGGUUAAAUCAAGAGUUCUUCGGACCUUGCGUGACUGAUUGAGCCGACGUCGGAUUAGUUAGUUGGUAAGGUAAGGGCUCACCAAGGCAACGAAGCGUAGCUGACCUGAGAGGAUGAUCGGCCACACUGGAACUGAGACACGGUCCAGACUCCUACGGGAGGCAGCAGUAGGGAAUCUUCCGCAAUGGGCGAAAGCCUGACGGAGCAACGCCGAGUGAGUGAUGAAGGUCUUCGGAUCGUAAAACUCUGUUAUUAGGGAAGAACAAAUGUGUAAGUAACUAUGCACGUCUUGACGGUACCUAAUCAGAAAGCCACGGCUAACUACGUG
rnacentral:rRNA from 1 species